AAGACAUUGGACCGGGAGAGGUUCUUGAGGUCGGACAUUCUCAUGGACCACAUUUUCUUUUGUUACCGGUUGUUUGCACUAACACGCGACAACCCAUAGUAUCUCAAUGGAAUGCAUGUUUGUGUGU
ensembl:ncRNA K08A8.11 ncRNA